CUACGGGUUGCACCAGUGGGGAAUAUUGCACAAUGGGCGCAAGCCUGAUGCAGCCAUGCCGCGUGUAUGAAGAAGGCCUUCGGGUUGUAAAGUACUUUCAGCGGGGAGGAAGGGAGUAAAGUUAAUACCUUUGCUCAUUGACGUUACCCGCAGAAGAAGCACCGGCUAACUCCGUGCCAGCAGCCGCGGUAAUACGGAGGGUGCAAGCGUUAAUCGGAAUUACUGGGCGUAAAGUGCACGCAGGCGGUUUGUUAAGUCAGAUGUGAAAUCCCUGGGCUCAACCUGGGAACUGCAUCUGAUACUGGCAAGCUUGAGUCUCGUAGAGGGGGGUAGAAUUCCAGGUGUAGCGGUGAAAUGCGUAGAGAUCUGGAGGAAUACCGGUGGCGAAGGCGGCCCCCUGGACGAAGACUGACGCUCAGGUGCGAAAGCGUGGGGAGCAAACAGGAUUAGAUACCCCGGUAGUC
rnacentral:rRNA from 1 species